rnacentral:rRNA from 1 species
GACGAACGCUGGCGGCGUGCUUAACACAUGCAAGUCGAACGAUGAUGCUGGAGCUUGCUCCAGUUGAUUAGUGGCGAACGGGUGAAUAACACGUGAGCAAUCUGCCCUUGACUCUGGGACAACUGCGGGAAACUGUAGCUAAUACCGGAUACUUUCACCGGGGGGCAUCCUCUGGUGAUGAAAGAAUUUCGGUCAAGGAUGAGCUCGCGGCCUAUCAGCUUGUUGGUGAGGUAACGGCUCACCAAGGCGACGACGGGUAACCGGCCUGAGAGGGUGACCGGUCACACUGGGACUGAGACACGGCCCAGACUCCUACGGGAGGCAGCAGUGGGGAAUAUUGCACAAUGGGCGCAAGCCUGAUGCAGCAACGCCGCGUGAGGGAUGAAGGCCUUCGGGUUGUAAACCUCUUUUAGCAGGGAAGAAGCGAAAGUGACGGUACCUGCAGAAAAAGCACCGGCUAACUACGUGCCAGCCGCCGCAGUAA